rnacentral:rRNA from 1 species
AACGAACGCUGGCGGCAGGCCUAACACAUGCAAGUCGAGCGAGGACUUCGGUCCUAGCGGCGGACGGGUGAGUAACGCGUGGGAACGUGCCCUUUGCUUCGGAAUAGCCCUGGGAAACUGGGAGUAAUACCGGAUGAGCCCUUUGGGGGAAAGAUUUAUCGGCGAAGGAUCGGCCCGCGUUGGAUUAGGUAGUUGGUGGGGUAAUGGCCUACCAAGCCGACGAUCCAUAGCUGGUUUGAGAGGAUGAUCAGCCACACUGGGACUGAGACACGGCCCAGACUCCUACGGGAGGCAGCAGUGGGGAAUAUUAGAAAAUGGGGGAAACCCUGAUCAAGCCAUGCCGCGUGAGCGAUGAAGGCCUUAGGGUUGUAAAGCUCUUUCAGCUGGGAAGAUAAUGACGGUACCAGCAGAAGAAGCCCCGGCUAACUCCGUG